AUUAUCCAUUGAAAUUAUUUUAAAAAAUGAAAAUUGAAUUCUGCCAAGUCGACACAUGCACAACACAUAGAGCAAGGAUACUUUUUUGGGUUCAUGAAUGUCAGAUCCCCAAUUAGCUAUGGCAAAAAAAUGCCUUGUUCCAUCCCAAACUUGCCGAAUAUCGUACUUCUUAUAGUGGACACAGUAAUCCAUGUACUUCUGACCCUUUAUGUUUGAAUUCUGCAAGGUAUGUUGAAGUAUUUCGGCAAGGUAUAUUGAAAAAUAUUCCAGGUGGACCAAAAAAAGGUUGUUGCACAUCAGCCCAAUGCUUUUCAUUCUGCCCUGACUACCCAAUUAAUAUAAAGUUCAGUUCCAGGUAUCUGUUUUGAUAUUCACCCGCCUACAUAGCUCUGCCUCUGGUUACUUGAGAGAUUACAGUUAUGCUCCACUAGAACAGAGACCAUAGGAGUGUGGGAAUCAGCAUUUUAGUAGGAGCUGGACAAAGACUACAGAAGUUAUUCACAUAAGAUAUCAGAAUGACCACAAAACUCAGCACUUCCACAACGAAAGGAUAAAACUUAUUUCUUCCAUGUUGCUUUUCCUGGACAAAUCCUUCACACGUGUAAUUAGUCUUUGAACUAAUCAAGCCAUUCUCUUCCAUACAUGAAGUGGAGGGCAAGAGGGCAUCCAUUCUGUUAUUUUUAUCUUAUAUACUUGAGGGAUAGUCCUACAUGAAGUAAGAAAGCCCAUAAUAAAUGCUCAGCACAGACAUAUGCACUCUAUGCUCACAUAAAGAAAUAAGUAAUUGAAUCAGCCUUAAUAGAUUAGAAUGGCAUCAUCUCUAUUUUUAACCCAGUAAGUCAGGACAUUGUCAGGAAAAUAUCACAGGAGGAAAGAAAGAAAGAAAGAAAAAGAGAAAUUCCCCUUCACAGAAAGGGACCAUUUGGCAUCGCCUCUACCUUAACUCAGGGUACUGGGACUUUGUCAGUUAGGAGCAAUAGGGAUUUGCUGCACUUCCAGUGCAGAUAAAGGAUACAUCUGAACAAAGGAAAAUCCAGCUGUCGUCAUGCUGCUGUGGCAGAAGGCGUCUGGUAUGGCUGUCUUUUCCAAGCAGGCUCCCUGAAAGAGCAGAAUAAAUAAUUGAUCAGAAUCGAUUGUUUCCAUGCAAUGAAUUUUGUCCCUCUCUCUGGCCACGUAAUGCCCUUCUUCCAUUUGUGCCUUAAUCCAAUUCUACCACGUGCAGAAAACAGGAACUAGCAUUGAUCCUCAAGGCCUGGGCGUGGUUUCUUUCUUUCUUUCUUGUUUCAGGGGGGGUCGUUUAAUUUCUUCUCUUCUCUUCCCUUGGCUGCUUGUCUCCCUCCCCCACCUCCUUCUCCCAGGCCCAGUGAGGUCAGCUCAUGAAUAUUGCUGCAUUUCCCUGAGAGGCUCUGGCACUGCUUGGUAUCUCGUGUGUGCAUGAAUUUGACCAGCCCAGCAGCAGACAGAGUUGGACUGCAAGAGCUCUUGCCACGGGGGAGGCACCAGCCGGGGCUGGAGUUUGGGACAGGAGGGAUCCAGGUUACCCUCCUGAGAAAUCUCUGCUCUUUGCUGCAGUGAAACAUCCCGAGGAAAUCCAGGGCGGAGGAUGCCCCGGCUGAUGUGAUGGACGCCAGCCAGCAGCGGCCAUGAGCCAGGCGCCGGCCGGGGGCGCUGCCGCAGCCGAGCCGCGCCUGCAUCCCGAGGGCAGCAGCGGCAGCAGCAGCAAG